rnacentral:rRNA from 1 species
GAAUAAUGAGUGUAGAGUACACGAGCGGCGGACGGCUGAGUAACACGUAGGAACGUACCCCAAAGUGAGGGAUAACUGCUCGAAAGAGUAGCUAAUACCGCAUGUGCUCCACGGAGUAAAGCUUCGGCGCUUUGGGAACGGCCUGCGUCUGAUUAGCUUGUUGGUGAGGUAAAAGCUCACCAAGGCGACGAUCAGUAGCUGGUCUGAGAGGAUGAUCAGCCAGACUGGGACUGAGACACGGCCCAGACUCCUACGGGAGGCAGCAGUAGGGAAUUUUCCACAAUGGGCGAAAGCCUGAUGGAGCAACGCCGCGUGCAGGAUGAAGGCCUUAGGGUUGUAAACUGCUUUUAUAUGUGACGAAUAUGACGGUAGCAUAUGAAUAAGGAUCGGCCAACUCCGUGCCAGCAGCCGCGGUCAUACGGAGGAUCCAAGCGUUAUCCGGAAUUACUGGGCGUAAAGAGUUGCGUAGGUGGCAUAGUAAGCCGAGUAGUGAAAGCGUGUGGCUCAACCAUACUCACAUUUAUUC